UUUCCGUAGGUGAACCUGCGGAAGGAUCAUUAAAAAAUUGGACUCCAUUGGUGAGUUCAUUAAUAAUCCUACCCUUUGUGAAUUUGUUUGUUUGAAUAAUUUUUCUCCAAAAAAAAUUAUUGAAUGUCUUUCCCUGUUUUGGUGGAGCUUGUAAAGUGAAACCAGGCAGGGGAAUGGCAAACAGUAAUUAUUUUUGAAAAAGACCUUUUUUAAAAUUAAACUUUUUGUAUUCAUUUGUCUAAAAUUAUUUUUAUAAUAUAAAAACAACUUUUGACAAUGGAUCUCUUGGUUCUCGCAACGAUGAAGAACGCAGCAAAAUGCGAUAAGUAGUGUGAAUUGCAGAAUACGUGAAUCAUCGAAUCUUCGAACGCAUAUUGCACUUUUUUAGUUUACUAAAAAAGUAUGUCUGUUUGAGUAUCAGUAAAAUAUUCUCAUAAAAAAUUUAUUUUUUAUGGUUAUGAGUGUUUUACAACGAUAACAAGUUGUUUCACUUUAAAUUCUUUGUUAUCAAAAAAAUCAUUAAAAGCUAAUUUUAAAGAUUUUUUAAAAUUGGAUAAAAUCUUCCCGUAAAAAGGAAUAACCUAAACAAUUUUAAAAAAUUAAAAUUGGUUUGAUUUUUCUUGAUUUAAAAAGGAAAAAAAAGUAAAAAUUAACUUGAUCUCAAAUCAGAUAAGAGUACCCGCUGAACUUAAGCAUAUCAAUAAGCGGAGGAAAAGAAACUAACUAGGAUUCCCUCAGUAACGGCGAGUGAAGCGGGAAGAGCUCAAAUUUGAAAUCUUCAAGGUUUUACCUUGACGAAUUGUAGUUUAAAGAAGUGUUUUCUGUUGGAGUUUUGGUAAAAGUUCUUUGGAAAAGGACAUCAUAGAGGGUGAGAAUCCCGUAUUUGACCAUUAUCUCCAGCUUUGUGAUACACUUUCAAAGAGUCGGAUUGUUUGGGAAUGCAGUCCAAAAUGGGUGGUAAAUUUCAUCUAAAGCUAAAUACUGGCGAGAGACCGAUAGCGAACAAGUACCGUGAGGGAAAGAUGAAAAGAACUUUGAAAAGAGAGUUAAACAGUACGUGAAAUUGUCAAAAGGGAAGCGUUUGACACCAGUGUUGUUUUCUCGAAAAUCAAUUAAAAAAGGCCGGAUUUUGUGUUGUAUUGACUUUAUCAGCUUUCUGCACUUCUUUCUUGUCUUUUUUAAUGCACUUUUCGUUUAACAAGUCAACAUCAAUUUCUUUUGUUGUAAAAGGGUCAUUGGAAGGUGGCUUUCUUUUCGGAGAAAGUGUUUAUAGCCUUUGGCCUCUGCAAUCGGAGAGAUUGAGGUCUGCAGCGUAGAUCCUUCGGGGUUAGAUACAUUUGUGCUAAGUUAUAGCCUUUCAUAGACAACUUGUUGACUAUGAUCAGUCAUGUAGCUUACUCGCUUAUGCUAUUUUACCUACGCUUAGGAUGUUG
rnacentral:misc_RNA from 1 species